GAUGAACGCUGGCGGCGCGCCUAACACAUGCAAGUCGAACGGUUAAAGCACCUUUUAGGUGUGUAUAAAGUGGCGAACGGCUGAGUAACACGUGGGCAACCUGCCCUCCUCUUGGGGAUAGCCUCGGGAAACCGAGGAUAAUACCCGAUACUUCAAUGUGGCCGCAUGACGACAUUGAGAAAGCUUUUGCGGAGAAGGAUGGGCCCGCGGCCUGUUAGCUUGUUGGUGGGGUAGAGGCCUACCAAGGCAAUGAUGGGUAGCUGGGUUGAGAGACCGACCAGCCAGAUUGGGACUGAGACACGGCCCAGACUCCUACGGGAGGCGGCAGUGGGGAAUCUUGCACAAUGGGCGAAAGCCUGAUGCAGCGACGCCGCGUGCGGGACGAAGGCCUUCGGGUUGUAAACCGCUUUCAGCAGGGACGAGGCGAUAAGUGACGGUACCUGCAGAAGAAGCCCCGGCUAACUACGUG
rnacentral:rRNA from 1 species